AUUGAACGCUGGCGGCAGGCUUAACACAUGCAAGUCGAACGAGUGGCGGACGGGUGAGUAAUGCUUGGGAAUCUCGAUAAUGGAGGAGGAUAACUACGGGAAACUGUAGCUACUACCGAGUCCCAUAGGAUGAGCCCAAGUGGGAUGAGGUAGGUGGGGAGGUAAAGGCUCACCAAGUCGACGCGCUCUAGCUGGUCUGAGAGGAUGACCAGCAACACGGGUACGGAGACACGGCCCAGACUCCUACGGGAGGCAGCAGUGGGGAAUAUUGCGCAAUGGGGGCAACGUGACGCAGCCAUGCCGCGUGAAUGAAGAAGGCCUUCGGGUUGUAAAGUUCUUUCGGUAGCGAAGCGUUACCUACAGAAGAAGCACCGGCUAACUCCGUGCCAGCAGCCGCGGUAAUAC
rnacentral:rRNA from 1 species